ACCAUGUGGUGGAGCAAUCUCAUCUCCAUGCUCAAAUCUUUGGCCUCAAUUUUCAUAAACCCCUCCACAUCCUCUCUUCCUAAGAUGGUCCUAAGCUCUAUUUCUUUUCUUGGAAGCUCAUCUAGGAGUCUACCUUCACGGGACACCCUUGACAAUUGACCUCAGAACUCUAUCAGUGAAAACUAGAUUAGAAUAAAACUCCUUGAC
rnacentral:lncRNA from 1 species